GGAGGUUAAAGAGACGGGCUCCGUUCCCCGUCCGCCUUGACAAAGCUCCGCUUCGUCUUGGCCCUCGAGUUCUCCAUCUUCCCUAGCUUCUCUUCUGCAUCUCUUAUUCUUUUGUUCAAUUUUUGUUGUUGUUGCUGAGAUGGCGCCCAAGUUGUCCAAGGCUGACAAGAAAGUUUUGUACGACAAGAAGCUCUGCGAUCUCCUCAACGAGUACAGUCAGGUUUUGGUUGCGGGGGCGGACAAUGUUGGAUCGAAUCAGCUGCAGAGCAUCCGCAGCGGGCUGAGGGGGGAGUCGGUCGUUCUCAUGGGCAAGAACACGCUGAUCCGUCGGUGCAUCAAGUUUCAUGCUGAGAGGACUGGCAAUACUGCUUAUCUCAACUUAAUUCCUCUCCUUGUGGGCAAUGUGGGGUUAAUUUUCACCAAAGGAGAUCUGAAGGAAGUG
rnacentral:misc_RNA from 1 species